rnacentral:misc_RNA from 1 species
CUGUUGGCAAGAAUGGUUCUGCAGAUGCGAGGCACUAUUCCACAAGGGCACAAGUGGGAUGUUAUGGUGGACUUAUUCUUCUAUAGGGAGCCUGAGGAAACCAAGCAACAGGAAGAGGAGGAAGCAGUACCAGUUACUGAUUAUGCACUCCCUUCUACUCAUUAUGGGCUUUCUAAUACUGAUUGGGAUGCUCAAAUUGCUGAUGGCCAGUGGACUGCUGAAGCAGCUCCACCACCUAUUUCUGCUGUUCCUGCUUCCAACUCAUAUCCAGAGCAGGGUAGUGGAUUCUCUAAUGAAUGGGACGCAGCA